UACGGGGGGAGCAAGCGUUGUUCGGAUUUACUGGGCGUAAAGGGCGCGUAGGCGGCCACCGCAAGUCAAUUGUGAAAUCUCCGGGCUUAACCCGGAAAGGUCAACUGAUACUGCGGGGCUAGAGUGCGGAAGGGGCAACUGGAAUUCCCGGUGUAGCGGUGAAAUGCGCAGAUAUCAGGAAGAACACCCGUGGCUAAGGCGGCUCUCUAGUACGGUACUGACGCUGAGACGCGAAAGCGUGGGGAGCGAACAGG
rnacentral:rRNA from 1 species